rnacentral:rRNA from 1 species
AGAACGAACGCUGGCGGCAGGCUUAACACAUGCAAGUCGAACGCUCCGCAAGGAGAGUGGCAGACGGGUGAGUAACGCGUGGGAAUCUACCUAGUUCUACGGAACAACAGAGGGAAACUUCUGCUAAUACCGUAUACGCCCUAAGGGGGAAAGAUUUAUCGGAAUUAGAUGAGCCCGCGUAAGAUUAGCUAGUUGGUGGGGUAAUGGCCUACCAAGGCGACGAUCUUUAGCUGGUCUGAGAGGAUGAUCAGCCACACUGGGACUGAGACACGGCCCAGACUCCUACGGGAGGCAGCAGUGGGGAAUAUUGGACAAUGGGCGAAAGCCUGAUCCAGCCAAUGCCGCGUGAGUGAUGAAGGCCUUAGGGUGUAAAGCUCUUCAGUAGGGAAGAUAAUGACGGUACCUAACAGAAAGAAACGCCCCGGCUAACUUCGUGCCCAGCAAGCCGC